UACUUUUUAAUAACUAAAGAAAAUAUAUUGGGUUUGCAUUUAAUAACAAAUUUUAAUUUUCAAAUAGUUACUAAAAUUACAAAUUAUUUAGUUUUAACAUUGAUUAUACAUAGUAUACUAUGUAUAAACAAUGGUUUUAACUAUCCAUUUAUUUAUUUUUUAUGUUAAAAAAUCAAUUACUGUUUCAACUAAGUGAAUAUAGUUAAAUAGUUGAACUCAUAUAAUAACAUUGUCAUUUAACCAAUCUUAUUUUUAAUUGUAAUAUAACCCAAAGAGUACACUCGAGUCAAAGUAAAUUAUUGAAUAGACUACCUUUAAGCUAUAUAUUUUUAAGUCUUCUAACAUUUCCGGGAAGUAUGACAAAAAAUGGAUAUUUGAUGAGUGUUGACUUUGGAAUUGAAUUUUAGAAUUUCAUGAUUUGGUUUGGGAUUAAAUUCAAUGUAUUACAAAUUUAUUGGAAAUAAAAUUGAAAAAUAACAUGAAUUGGGGAUGUAAAAUAAAAAGGUAACUAAUAAAGAAUUAUUACAAUAGGCAAUUUGUAUUUGAUAAUGUAAUUAUAUAGAUUGAAAUUCAAAAAAAAAAAACUAAUGAUGAGUGAAAUAACUAAGUUUUAGAUGUUAAUAGUGUUAAUACUAUAAAAUAUUCAUUGAAGUUAUUAUUGUUUAAUGGUUGGCUGAAUUUAUGAUCAUUUAAAAACAAUAACAAUAAUAUUAAGAACUACCUAUAUUAUAUGUAUUAUUUUAAUGAUAGUAAUUUCCUGACAAGCCUAUAACGGUAUAUAGAAAAAAUAAGUAACAUAUAAAAAGAAAGUAUUAAUUUAUUAAACAGAAAUUUGUAAACAACUUGAUGACACCAUGUUAAACAUUCUUACACAAAACUUGUCAGUUAAUUUGUGUGCUACAAUUAAAUGAAUAAUAAAAAUGUCUACCUGUUCA